AGCUGAUCCAGCAAUGCCGCGUGUGUGAGAAGGCCUUCGGGUUGUAAAGCACUUUUGUCCGGAAAGAAAUCCUUGGCUCUAAUACAGUCGGGGGAUGACGGUACCGGAAGAAUAAGCACCGGCUAACUACGUGCCAGCAGCCGCGGUAAUACGUAGGGUGCGAGCGUUAAUCGGAAUUACUGGGCGUAAAGCGUGCGCAGGCGGUUUGCUAAGACCGAUGUGAAAUCCCCGGGCUCAACCUGGGAACUGCAUUGGUGACUGGCAGGCUAGAGUAUGGCAGAGGGGGGUAGAAUUCCACGUGUAGCAGUGAAAUGCGUAGAGAUGUGGAGGAAUACCGAUGGCGAAGGCAGCCCCCUGGGCCAAUACUGACGCUCAUGCACGAAAGCGUGGGGAGCAAACAGGAUUAGAUACCCGAGUAGUC
rnacentral:rRNA from 1 species